rnacentral:antisense_RNA from 1 species
GGUAGCCAAAAAUCGUCACUGGGUUCAGCGUCGGGUUGGUGAUAACGCGAACGUCACCGCCACCCGGUGCCCAGGUGUCAUACACACCGCCGAAGAACAUAGCCUUAAACACCAGCAGGAAGGCACCCAAACCCAGCAGGAUCAGGUGAUACCCAAUGAUGUUGGUCAUCUGGUUCUUGUCUUUCCA